GACGAACGCGGGCGGCGUGCUUAACACAGGCAAGUCGAACGGAAAGUCCCUUCUUUUGUGGGUGGCUUUAGUGUCGAACGGGUGAGUAACACGUGAGUAACCUUCCCUUAACUUUGGGAUAACUUCAGGAAACUGGGUCUAAUACCUGAUAGGAGCUCCUGCUGCAUGGUGGGGGUUGGAAAGUUUCGGCGGUUGGGGAUGGACUCGAGGCUUAUCAGCUUGUUGGUGGGGGAGUGGCUUACCAAGGCUUUGACGGGUAUCCGGCCUGAGAGGGUGACCGGCCACAUUGGGACUGAGAUACGGCCCAGACUCCUACGGGAGGCAGCAGUGGGGAAUAUUGCACAAUGGGAGGAAGCCUGAUGCAGCAACGCCGCGUGAGGGAUGACGGCCUUCGGGUUGUAAACCGCUUUCGCCUGUGACGAAGCGUGAGUGACGGUAAUGGGUAAAGAAGCACCGGCUAACUACGUG
rnacentral:rRNA from 1 species